AUGAAGACGGACGCGCCGGCGGCGGGGAGGAAGGCGAAGGGGUCACUGGACCUGGCGCCCCGGGUGCCACAGAUCCUGGGCGCCGGCCUCGACCGCCACACCCAGUCGCUGCCCAUGGCGCUCCGCGACCGCUGCGCCACCCCCGUGGCCGGGGCCCUCGUCCGGGACCUCUCCCGCGCCGCUCCCCCGACCGCCGCCCCGACGCGCGUGGUGCCCAAAUCCGCCGCGCGCCCGACCCCGACAACCGGCUCGCUGUUCGCCUCGGGCCUUCGCCCAUCCUAA
rnacentral:rRNA from 1 species